UCAAUAGAGGCGCGAGUGACAGGGUACCUUUUUGCGUGGGACAGGCACCGGAAAGCAGAAAGGGAAGGGGUCGCCCGCCGAAAGGAUAAGGUUCGCCUGCGCUUUAUCCUUGGUAACGUCGUGUAAACGGCGGUACUGUCAUGUUUUGAUACAUGGAGCGCUAUUGGU
rnacentral:ncRNA from 1 species